GAGUUUGAUCCUGGCUCAGGAUGAACGCUAGCUACAGGCUUAACACAUGCAAGUCGAGGGGCAUCAGGGAUUAGCAAUAAUCUGCUGGCGACCGGCGCACGGGUGAGUAACACGUAUCCAACCUUCCUUUAACUCGGGGAUAGCCUUUCGAAAGAAAGAUUAAUACCCGAUAAUAUAAGCUAACCUCCUGGUUUACUUAUUAAAGAAUUUCGGUUAUCGAUGGGGAUGCGUUCCAUUAGGCAGUUGGCGGGGUAACGGCCCACCAAACCUUCGAUGGAUAGGGGUUCUGAGAGGAAGGUCCCCUACACUGGAACUGAGACACGGUCCAGACUCCUACGGGAGGCAGCAGUGAGGAAUAUUGGUCAAUGGACGCAAGUCUGAACCAGCCAAGUAGCGUGAAGGAUGACUGCCCUAUGGGUUGUAAACUUCUUUUAUAUGGGAAUAAAACGCUCCACGUGUGGAGCUUUGUAUGUACCAUUAUGAAUAAGCAUCGGCUAACUCCGUGCCAGCAGCCGCGGUAAUACGGAGGAUGCGAGCGUUAUCCGGAUUUAUUGGGUUUAAAGGGAGCGUAGGUGGAUUGAUAAGUCAGCCUGUGAAAGUUUGCGGCUCAACCGUAAAAUUGCAGUUGAUACUGUCAGUCUUGAGUACAGUAGAGGUUAGCGGAAUUCGUGGUGUAGCGGUGAAAUGCUUAGAUAUCACGAAGAACUCCAAUUGCGAGGCAGCUGACUAGACUGUAACUGACACUGAGGCUCGAAGUGUGGGUAUCAACAGGAUAGAUACCUGGUAGUCCCACAGUAACGAUGAAUACUCGCUGUUG
rnacentral:rRNA from 1 species